rnacentral:rRNA from 1 species
AUUGAACGCUGGCGGCAGGCCUAACACAUGCAAGUCGAGCGGAGCGGCGGACGGGUGUGUAAUACCUAGGAAUCUGCCUGGUAGUGGGGGAUAACGUUCGGAAACGGACGCUAAUACCGCAUACUUUCAGAUGACCCUAGGUCGGAUUAGUUAGUUGGUGAGGUAAUGGCUCACCAGGGCUACGAUCCGUAACUGGUCUGAGAGGAUGAUCAGUCACACUGGAACUGAGACACGGUCCAGACUGCUACGGGAGGCAGCAGUGGGGAAUAUUGGGGAAUGGGCGAAAGCCUGAUGCAGCCCAGCCGCGUGUGGGAAGAAGGUGUUCGGAUUGUAAAGCACUGUAAGCUUGGAGGGGGUACCGACAGAAUAAGCACCGGCUAACUCUGUGAGAGCAGCCGCGGUAAUAC